CACGUAGGGCGCGAGCGUUGUCCGGAAUUAUUGGCGUAAAGAGCUCGUAGGCGGCCUGUUGCGUCCGCUGUGAAAGCCCGGGCUUAACCCGGGUCGGCAGUGGAUACGGCAGGCUAGAGGUAGGUAGGGAGAAUGGAAUUCCGGUGUAGCGGUGAAAUGCGCAGAUAUCGGGAGGAACACCGGUGGCGAAGGCGGUUCUCUGGGCCUUACCUGACGCUGAGAGCGAAAGCGUGGGAGCGAACAGG
rnacentral:rRNA from 1 species